UUUGAAAUCUGGCCCCCCCGUACCGAGUUGUAAUUUGUAGAGGAUGCUUUUGGCGCGGCGCCUUCCGAGUUCCCUGGAACGGGACGCCAUAGAGGGUGAGAGCCCCGUCUGGUCGGAUGCCUAGCCUCUGUAAAGCUCCUUCGACGAGUCGAGUAGUUUGGGAAUGCUGCUCAAAAUGGGAGGUAUAUGUCUUCUAAAGCUAAAUAUUGGCCAGAGACCGAUAGCGCACAAGUAGAGUGAUCGAAAGAUGAAAAGCACUUUGAAAAGAGGGUUAAAAAGUACGUGAAAUUGUUGAAAGGGAAGCGCCUAUGACCAGACUUGGGCCCGGUGAAUCAUCCAGCGUUCUCGCUGGUGCACUUUGCCGGGCACAGGCCAGCAUCAGUUUGGCGCGGGGGACAAAGGCUCUGGGAAUGUGGCUCCCCCGGGAGUGUUAUAGCCCACUGCGCAAUACCCUGCGCCGGACUGAGGUACGCGCAUCGCAAGGAUGCUGGCGUAAUGGUCAUCAGCGACCCGUCUUGAAACACGGACCAAGGAGUCGUCUUCGUAUGCGAGUGUUCGGGUGUCAAACCCCUACGCGUAAUGAAAGUGAACGCAGGUGAGAGCUUCGGCGCAUCAUCGACCGAUCCUGAUGUUCUCGGAUGGAUUUGAGUAAGAGCAUACGGGGCCGGACCCGAAAGAAGGUGAACUAUGCCUGUAUAGGGUGAAGCCAGAGGAAACUCUGGUGGAGGCUCGCAGCGGUUCUGACGUGCGAAUCGAUCGUCAAAUAUGGGCAUGGGGGCGAAAGACUAAUCGAACCUUCUAGUAGCUGGUUUC
rnacentral:rRNA from 1 species